rnacentral:rRNA from 1 species
GCGCGUAAAUUGCCCGAAUCCUGACACAGGGAGGUAGUGACAAGAAAUAACAAUACAGGGCUACAUCUAGUCUUGUAAUUGGAAUGAGUACAAUUUACAUCUCUUCACGAGGAUCAAUUGGAGGGCAAGUCUGGUGCCAGCAGCCGCGGUAAUUCCAGCUCCAAUAGCGUAUAUUAAAGUUGUUGCAGUUAGAACGCUCGUAGUCGGAUUUCGGGGCGGGUCGACCGGUCUGCCGAUGGGUACGCACUGGUCGACGCGUCCUUCCUUCCGGAGACCGUGCCUACUCUUAACUGAGCGGGGGCGGGAGACGGAACGUUUACUUUGAAAAAAUCAGAGUGCUUCAAGCAGGCAGCUCGCUCUUGCAUGGAUUAGCAUGGGAUAAUGAAAUAGGACUUUGGUGCUAUUUUGUUGGUUUCGAACACCGAAGUAAUGAUGAGAAGGGACAGUCAGGGGCACUCGUAUUCC